CACGUAGGGUGCGAGCGUUGUCCGGAAUUAUUGGGCGUAAAGAGCUCGUAGGCGGUGUGUCGCGUCGGCCGUGAAAACCUGUGGCUUAACUAUGGGCUUGCGGUCGAUACGGGCAUCACUGGAGUUCGGCAGGGGAGACUGGAAUUCCUGGUGUAGCGGUGAAAUGCGCAGAUAUCAGGAGGAACACCGGUGGCGAAGGCGGGUCUCUGGGCCGAUACUGACGCUGAGGAGCGAAAGCGUGGGGAGCGAACAGG
rnacentral:rRNA from 1 species